rnacentral:lncRNA from 1 species
AAGCGGGGCUGGCCACUGCUCUUUCAAAGGAGGAGGGAGGCAGAGGGCUGAUGGAUGAGUGAAUUUGCAGCUGACACUAGGCCUUGAGACCUAUGGGAUCAUUGUGUGCUGCAGCGAGGCCCUGCCGGCCUCUCCAGAUGUGGUGAGCCCAUCCUAUCUCAGUGGGAGGGGGCCAGAAUCGGAUCUCAACGGGAGUCCGGAGAACACAGCAGGCGUCCUGAAGCUCCCCCUCCCUCGGUGGAAGUCGGCUCAAGCAGAUCCUGAGGACAGGACCCCUGGGGGUUUGGGCCUGGGACAGGACGAGACACCCGCGGCCCCCUCUCCCACGCCGCCCCAAACAGGACCCAGGAUCCAGCCGCCGCCGCGGCGGCAGCGAUAUUUAAAGGGGACGCAGCCUAUCUGUCAGGAGCGGAGCGCGAGUCGGCUCAGCCAAUGCGCAUGCGCGAGGCGCGAGCGGUUUCUCCCGUCACAGUGGUUCCCACGGUUGUCUUAGAAACCAGACCCCGAGGCUUGGCAGAGCAGGAGCCCUCGGUGGCAGUGCUUGGGUGUCGAGGCUCUGAGGCUCCGGCCUCACCUCUCCACGGGGUCGAAGGGAACGUCUCCGGAUGCCAGGAGUCGCAAAGGGCCGACCAUGAUGAUGAAACCCCAGGCAGAGACGGGGGAAGCAGCACGGGAUCCCAGCCUCAGGCCUGCACGGACGGUGUUGGUUGGGGUGAGUCUCCCUAAAAGUCGUGCCGCCGUCCGUGAUCUCGAGGACGGGUCGGCCUGCGUGCCCCUGGGCUGCUCUCUCACCCGAGGGUCGUUCUCCUCCAGAGCAGAACCCCGCAGCCUCAGGGGUUGCCUGGGGGUGUGUGUUUCAAUGCCUCUGCUGUAUGACUCUGCGUGUGUGUGUGUGUGUCUCCCAUUCUCUCUUCUCUCUCUGUCUCUCAGUCUCUGUGUGUUUCUUUCCCACUCUCUGUGGGUUUGUGCCAGCCGAAGUUGCGUCAGGGCUACCAGGUCGGUGGAGGAUUGGGGGUGUUGCGAAUUUUGCAGAAACCUCUUUGCUCCUCCGGUAGACAUUUGAAAACGUGGCUUGGGUCAGGCACAGGCGGCCCCCCACCCCCGGGUCCCAGGUGUUCUUUGAUUUUCCUUGGCAUUGAUGGAAAGGUCACCCGUUUCCCCCUUCCACUGGCACAUGCCUGGACCCCACCCUUUGUUUCGCCGUCGCCCCGUAUGCCUCCGGUGAGACGCAUUCACACCAACUGCUGUGGGAUUGGCCAGUGCCACGCGUGGUCACAUGGUCUCCCCCUCGGAUUCGCCUGUUUUCCUCUUUGCAGGUGUCCUGUAAAGCACUGUCGGCUUUCCGGAGCCCCAGGGCUUUUAGAAGCAGGGCAGGCCACUGCUCUUUCUAAGGAGGAGGGCAUUGAAAAACACACCCCCAAGCAAUCCCUGAGGCUGUGAUGUUCUGCUCUCUACGAGAAGGACCCUCGGGUGAGAGAGCAGCCCAGG